rnacentral:rRNA from 1 species
AGCAGCCGCGGUAAUUCCAGCUCCAAUAGCGUAUAUUAAAGUUGUUGCAGUUAAAAAGCUCGUAGUUGAAUUUCGGGAUCAAUAUAUCGGUCGUGCCUUUGGUACGUACUGGUAUCAUUGAUUUCUCCCUUCUGACGAAUCAUGAUGUCAUUAAUUUGGUGUUAUGAGGAGUUAGGACUGUUACUUUGAAAAAAUUAGAGUGUUUAAAGCAGGCAUUAGCUUGAAUACAUUAGCAUGGAAUAAUGAAAUAGGACGUUAGACCCUAUUUUGUUGGUUUCUAGGAUCGACGUAAUGAUUAAUAGGGAUAGUUGGGGGCAUUAGUAUUCAAUUGUCGGAGGUGAAAUUCUUGGAUUUAUUGAAGACUAACUACUGCGAAAGCAUUUGCCAAGGAUGUUUUCAUUAAUCAAGAACGAAAGUUAGGGGAUCGAAGACGAUCAGAUACCGUCGUAGUCUNAACCAUAAACUAUGCC